rnacentral:lncRNA from 1 species
UUUUUUUCAGUGCCCAUCGCCACUCCAGUUGCCAAGCCCCCAGCACCUCCCGCUGGCAACACCAUUCCUACAGUGGUGGGCCGUAGUGUGAUACCACGUAUUACCUCUUCCUCCCCUAGCCCCACUGAGCUGCCCAGCAGUGUCAAUGGAGCACCAAAGAGACCUCACUCUCCAUCUCAGGAGGAUCCACCUAAGAGGCACAAAGAUACAGAGGUGCUAAGCUCUUUAUAAAAUACACAAGUCAAGAAAUCCAUUACAACUGAUCAACCUUUCUGUGGAUCACUAAUAUCAAAAUAUUUAAUCCAGUCUCAAAACUUUAAGCAUGUCUUAAUAUGUAAAUUAAUUAUCUUUUGCUUCAGGUGUUUUCUGAUGACUCUGCGUUUAAAGAGCCAUACCCUCCAAAUAGUAAUGGCUUGGACUGUGAAGAGAGGCCAGCAGGGGAGGGUCUUUCAGCAACCAAACCUAUGCCAAUACCAACAAUUGAUACAUCAAGAUCACAGAGACUACCUAGUAAAGAGCUUCCGGAUGCAUCUUCCCCAAUUCCCACAAGCAAUCUCCGCGUGAUUAAAAAUUCAAUCAGGCUCACCCUUAACCGAUAACAGUUGUCCCUUAAAGAGUGGAACCACACUUGUGUAACAGCAGUGCUGCUUUUAAACUGCUACUGAUAUUUGGCUGGUCUUCCUGCUUGUUACAGAGUUGCAGAGUUCCUGCUUGUAAAGUAUUGACCCACACACACACAGUUUUUUUUUAUGCCUUACUGUGUCAG